rnacentral:lncRNA from 1 species
CCUCCAUGACCUAUAAAUUGUGGGGAAAAAAAAUUGUUAUGGUGAUUCAUACGCAUUUUUCUUUGUCUAUUCAAAGGUUCUAAAAUAUUCUGUAGUUUGUACCUCUGGUGAUGACGGGUGCUUUUCGGUCUGUUCUGCUUCCAUCUUCUUUAUUUUGCUUCUGCCUCUUUCCUCUUGUUUUCUUGUUUUGGAGUGUUAUAGAGAGAGAGCUUAACUGUGUAUAAAUCCUCUUUCUGCAUGCAGUUCUGUAUCCAUGCACAAAUACAACCACUCACGUGUACUUAUGCACUAUAUAUAGAGAGAGGGAGCAAUAGAUAGAUAGAUAGAGAGAGAGAGAAGGAAGGAGAUACUGAG